UAUGGUAUUCUUUGACAUACUGCGGUUGGCAUCAUAUUAUACUCUGGUUUAUUCCAGUGAGUUGGAUUUGAUAAAUGUCUUUGUUGGUACAGGACACAGGAGUACCAGAGCAGAAAAAUACACCUGCUCUCAGAAAGUAUAAGGUUGGCAAAUGGUUGGAGGAGAGAUGUUUGUGCGUGUGUGUGUGAGUGUGUGUGCGUGCGUGUGUGUGUGAGUGUGUAAGUGUGUGUGUAGGUGUGAGUGUGUGUGUGUGUGUGUGUGUGUGUGUGUGUGUGUGUGUGUGUGUGUGUUAAGUACAUGUGUGUUCAGUUGAGAAUGUGUCCCUGUAUUAUAAAUGUUUGUAGGGUAAUGAGUAAAUUGUCUUUCUCUUUGUUUCUUCCUCUGAUCGCGUUGUGUGAACAUUCUCUCAUGCCCUCCCCUACACACACCUCCGUAUCCCCCACACUGCCUCCCUCUCCAUCUAUCUCUUACUGCCUCCCCCUCCCUCCCUCUCUCUCUCUCUGUCUAUCUCUUUCUGUCUCUCCCUCCCUCUCUCUUUCUAUCUCUUUCUGUCUCCCCCUUUCUACCUGUCUCUCCUGUGCUCUCAUUCUCUAUCUUUCCCACCUUAUUUUCUCCCCCUACUCUCUCUUUCUCUCUCUCUCUCUCUCUCUCUAUAUAUAUAUAUAUAUAUAUUUUGCCCACCUGUUUCCUCUCUUCUCUGGCUCCUGCCUCAGACUCUGCCUCCCAUCCGGAUCAUCAGCAGCAGCGUGUUGGCUGGAGGUCCGCACGAGCCGAGGCCGUGCCGCGCCGAGCGCCGGGCCCAGAGGGAGGCCUCUCAGGUGUGGAGGAGACCAGCGCCUCCCCGCCCAGCGCUCCUCCACCUGGGGCUCACCGCUCGCUCACACUCCCUGCGCGAGUACCAGACCGUCUUCCCUGCGCUCUUCAACACACACUACAUACACAGAUUGGAGCGGACCAAAACUCCACCCUCGGGGUCAUCUGAGGGUCGUCCGCCCUCCGUCAACCUCCCAUCCCUGAGGCAGGGCCCAGAGCUAGAGAUCCUCAC
rnacentral:lncRNA from 1 species